rnacentral:rRNA from 1 species
UACGGGGGGGGCAAGCGUUGUUCGGAAUUACUGGGCGUAAAGCGCGCGUAGGCGGACCUGCAAGUCGGGGGUGAAAGCCCGAGGCUCAACCUCGGAACUGCCUUCGAUACUGCGGGUCUCGAGUCCGGGAGAGGUGAGUGGAAUUCCUAGUGUAGAGGUGAAAUUCGUAGAUAUUAGGAAGAACACCAGUGGCGAAGGCGGCUCACUGGCCCGGUACUGACGCUGAGG